GGCGGCGUGCUUAACACAUGCAAGUCGAACGAUGAACCACUUCGGUGGGGAUUAGUGGCGAACGGGUGAGUAACACGUGGGCAAUCUGCCCUUCACUCUGGGACAAGCCCUGGAAACGGGGUCUAAUACCGGAUACCACUCUCGCAGGCAUCUGUGAGGGUUGAAAGCUCCGGCGGUGAAGGAUGAGCCCGCGGCCUAUCAGCUUGUUGGUGAGGUAAUGGCUCACCAAGGCGACGACGGGUAGCCGGCCUGAGAGGGCGACCGGCCACACUGGGACUGAGACACGGCCCAGACUCCUACGGGAGGCAGCAGUGGGGAAUAUUGCACAAUGGGCGAAAGCCUGAUGCAGCGACGCCGCGUGAGGGAUGACGGCCUUCGGGUUGUAAACCUCUUUCAGCAGGGAAGAAGCGAAAGUGACGGUACCUGCAGAAGAAGCGCCGGCUAACUACGUGCCAGCAGCCGCGGUAAUACGUAGGGCGCAAGCGUUGUCCGGAAUUAUUGGGCGUAAAGAGCUCGUAGGCGGCUUGUCACGUCGAUUGUGAAAGCCCGAGGCUUAACCUCGGGUCUGCAGUCGAUACGGGCUAGCUAGAGUGUGGUAGGGGAGAUCGGAAUUCCUGGUGUAGCGGUGAAAUGCGCAGAUAUCAGGAGGAACACCGGUGGCGAAGGCGGAUCUCUGGGCCAUUACUGACGCUGAGGAGCGAAAGCGUGGGGAGCGAACAGGAUUAGAUACCCUGGUAGUCCACGCCGUAAACGGUGGGAACUAGGUGUUGGCGACAUUCCACGUCGUCGGUGCCGCAGCUAACGCAUUAAGUUCCCCGCCUGGGGAGUACGGCCGC
rnacentral:rRNA from 1 species